AACGCACAUUGCGCCCGCCAGCAUUCUGGCGGGCAUGCCUGUUCGAGCGUCAUUGCAACCCCUCAGGCCCCGCCUGGCGUUGGAGGACUGCGCACCCGCAGCCUCCCAAAGCGAGCGGCGGCGGCGCCCCGAGACCGAACGCAGUAGUUACCUCUCGUUCUGGGCCCGGGACGUCGUCCUGCCGGAAAACCCCCAACUCUUUACGUGGUUGACCUCGAAUCAGGUAGGAAUACCCGCUGAACUUAA
rnacentral:misc_RNA from 1 species